UACGUAGGUGGCGAGCGUUGUCCGGAAUUACUGGGUGUAAAGCGCGCGUAGGCGGUAGGCCAAGUCUGCUGUGAAAUCGCCCGGCUCAACUGGGCGCGGUCGGUGGAAACUGGUCAACUGGAGGACGGUAGAGGCGAGUGGAAUUCCCGGUGUAGUGGUGAAAUGCGUAGAGAUCGGGAGGAACACCAGUGGCGAAGGCGGCUCGCUGGGCCGGACCUGACGCUGAGGCGCGAAGGCGUGGGGAGCAAACGGG
rnacentral:rRNA from 1 species